rnacentral:rRNA from 1 species
GUCAAGCUUCCAAGAAAAGCCCUAUACCCGUUAAGGCAUGAUGGCCUGUACCCGAAACCGACACAGGUGGGGUGGUAGAGAAUACCGAGGGGCGCGAGGUAACUCUCUCUAAGGAACUCGGCAAAAUGGCCCCGUAACUUCGGGAGAAGGGGUGCCACCGCGAGGUGGUCGCAGUGAAGAGGCCCAGGCGACUGUUUACCAAAAACACAGGUCUCCGCUAAGUCGCAAGACGAUGUAUGGGGGCUGACGCCUGCCCAGUGCCGGAAGGUUAAGGAAGCUGGUCAGCGCAAGCGAAGCUGGCGACUGAAGCCCCGGUGAACGGCGGCCGUAACAAUAACGGUCCUAAGGUAGCGAAAUUCCUUGUCGGGUAAGUUCCGACCCGCACGAAAGGCGUAACGAUCUGGGCGCUGUCUCGGAGAGAGGCUCGGCGAAAUAGAAUUGUCUGUGAAGAUGCGGACUACGUGCACCCGGACAGAAAGACCCUAUGAAGCUUUACUGUAGCUUGGUAUUGUGCUCGGGCUCGGAAUGCGCAGGAUAGGUGGGAGGCUUUGAUCCAUUGCUUGCGAGUGAUGGUGAGCCACUGGUGAGAUACCACUCUUUCCGAGCUAGAGUUCUAACAGCAACCCGUUAUCCGGGUGCUGGACAGUAUCAGGUGGGCAGUUUGACUGGGGCGGUCGCCUCCUAAAAGGUAACGGAGGCGCGCAAAGGUCUGCUCAGGCUGGUUGGAAAUCAGCCGACGAGUGUAAAAGCAGAAGCAGGCUUGACUGUGAGACCUACAAGUCGAACAGGGAGGAAACUCGGCUUUAGUGAUCCGACGGUUCUGCGUGGAAGGGCCGUCGCUCAACGGAUAAAAGUUACUCUAAGGAUAACAGGCUGAUCUCCCCCAAGAGUUCACAUCGACGGGGAGGUUUGGCACCUCGAUGUCGGCUCAUCGCAACCUGGGGCUGAAGUCGGUCCCAAGGGUUGGGCUGUUCGCCCAUUAAAGCGGUACGCGAGCUGGGUUCAGAACGUCGUGAGACAGUUCGGUCCAUAUCCGGUGCACGCGCAGGAAUAUUGAGAGGAUUUCUCCCUAGUACGAGAGGACCGGGAGGAACGCACCUCUGGUGUGCCAGUUAUCGUGCCAACGGUAAACGCUGGGUAGCCAUGUGCGGAGUGGAUAACCGCUGAAAGCAUCUAAGUGGGAAGCCCACCUCAAGAUGAGUAUUCCCAUGGCAUAAGCCAGUAAGGUCACGGGAAGAACACCCGUUGAUAGGCUCUACGUGGAAGCGCAGUAAUGUGUGAAGCGGAGGAGUACUAAUAGACCGAGGGCUUGA